rnacentral:rRNA from 1 species
ACGGGUGAGUAACGCGUGGGAAUCUACCGUGCCCUGCGGAAUAGCUCCGGGAAACUGGAAUUAAUACCGCAUACGCCCUACGGGGGAAAGAUUUAUCGGGGUAUGAUGAGCCCGCGUUGGAUUAGCUAGUUGGUGGGGUAAAGACCUACCAAGGCGACGAUCCAUAGCUGGUCUGAGAGGAUGAUCAGCCACAUUGGGACUGAGACACGGCCCAAACUCCUACGGGAGGCAGCAGUGGGGAAUAUUGGACAAUGGGCGCAAGCCUGAUCCAGCCAUGCCGCGUGAGUGAUGAAGGCCUUAGGGUUGUAAAGCUCUUUCACCGGAGAAGAUAAUGACGGUAUCCGGAGAAGAAGCCCCGGCUAACUUCGUGCCAGCAGCCGCGGUAAUACGAAGGGGGCUAGCGUUGUUCGGAAUUACUGGGCGUAAAGCGCACGUAGGCGGAUAUUUAAGUCAGGGGUGAAAUCCCAGAGCUCAACUCUGGAACUGCCUUUGAUACUGGGUAUCUUGAGUAUGGAAGAGGUAAGUGGAAUUCCGAGUGUAGAGGUGAAAUUCGUAGA